ACGGAGUCCGAUACGCACCAGAAGCCAACUCUACUCCGUGGCUUCCCCGGAAAAUCGGAGUUACUAUUCACUUAAGUGAAAACUGAAAGUCGCGUAUCUUCUCCAUUUUAGCUCAUUUUCGCCCGAAACUUGACGAGUGCUUAUGUAGUUAAAUUACACACAUAAACAUCAUCAACAGAGAGUUUAGUAGCACUGUCAAAAAUCUCAGUCCUUACAUUCAUAAACGGGCCGUUUAAUUUAGAUUUUUAAUAAUUCGCGAAUUAACUAACUAGGGUUGUCAUUGGAUAUAUAAGAGACCUAGCCACCAGACAUUAUAAUUAGGCUUAAGUAUUUUAGGUCAGUGAUUUGGACCUAACGAAUUAUUAUUUCUCGUAGACCUGAAUUGUUAUAUUUAAUAAGUUUUCUAAUUUUCAAUACCUAAAUUCAGAAAUAGUAAAAAGCCAUUUCUUGAAAUCUGAUUUUAAUUUAAAAUUAAAAAUUAAAAAUUAAAAUUUUUUAAUUUU
rnacentral:lncRNA from 1 species